GCCACUUUAGCUCAGUCGGUAGAGCAACGCAUUCGUAACGCGUAGGUCGUGGGUUCGAAUCCCAUGAGUGGCU
rnacentral:tRNA from 6 species